rnacentral:rRNA from 1 species
AUUGAACGCUGGCGGCAGGCCUAACACAUGCAAGUCGAGCGAGCGGCGGACGGGUGCGUAAUGUCUGGGAACCUGCAUGAUGGAGGGGGAUAACUAAUGGAAACGGUAGCUAAUACCGCAUACCAUCAGAUGUGCCCAGAUGGGAUUAGCUAGUAGUUGGGGUAACGGCUCACCUAGGCGACGAUCCCUAGCUGGUCUGAGAGGAUGACCAGCCACAGUGGAACUGAGACACGGGCCAGACUCCUACGGGAGGCAGCAGUGGGGAAUAUUGCACAAUGGGCGAAAGCCUGAUGCAGCCAUGCCGCGUGUGUGAAGAAGGCCUGCGGGUUGUAAAGCACUGUCAGCGGGGAGGCGUUACCCGCAGAAGAAGCACAGGCUAACUCCGUGCCAGCAGCCGCGGUAAUUC